AGGAGUGCGGAAAGCCCAGCUUCCUAUUGGUCAGCACCUGUCGGCGGAGACUCAGCGCGGGAAGAAGGGCUGGGUUUCCGGAUGUGGUGUCGGGAUGGAGCGACGGAGAACAGGAGUGACCCGUCUGGACCCUCAGCACUGGUCACUCGAGGAGCUCCUGAGUGUUUCUCCCCAUCAGUCACAGCGGGUGGCAGGUUCACAGCUGAAGGUGUGUCAUUAGACCCCUGCUGACCGCCUCCUGGUCCGGCCCUCCUCACAUUCGUCUUCAUUAAAGAGCCGUUGACUGGGUCUCUCUGAGCAGAUGGUCAUUAAUGUGGCCACCCAAUCCACGGAGACUCUACCUGAGCACGGACAUCACCUCUAAACACCGCUGAAGACGCAGGCACUCUCACCUCUCCCAGAAGAGUUUAUACAUGGCUGCCGGUGGGUGGUGAAGAAUCUGGUGGUAUUUCAAGUCAUCUGAUGCACGCUGAUGGAUGAAUCAGAAGAUCUAAAGCUUUAAGAAGGCAGAUCUACACAAAUCUGCAUUAGAUGGAGUGAGUGUGAGGGUCUGACGGAGCGUCAUGAGCUCAUUGGCAGCAGACGCGGCUUGUUAAGGCUCUGAGAGGCCUGAUGUAUUUCCUCAUCUCUAAUGGACGAGCCGCGCGUGACACAUCUCACUUCUCAGGCUGGCGUUGAGUGGACUGGACAGAUCGAGUCAGAGGUCAUGGGGACAGAUGAUUUCCCUGCAGGGACAAAUCUGGCAACAACUGUAAGGUCACGACAUCAUAGUGUGGCUAACAAUCAUGUGUCUGCUGAGUUUAACAGCGAAGUGACAAACAUCAGCUAUGACUUUACACCAAUUAAAUGUAACUUGCUAUGAAAGAUUCAGCUCAUAUUAUUGCCCUGUCAUGACUAGAUGAUCUGAAAGAGAAGAGACUGUAGUAGAAUGUUUACCUUAAUACAGAGAAUGCAACAUGUCAUUGAAUUGCAUUGCAAUUGAAACUGAAUUCUGACAAAUUUCAGUUUGCUUGCAAUGCAUGAA